UUGGGCGCCCGGAUAGCUCAGUUGGUUGAGCCGGGCCCAGGUUUGACUCCGCCCUGCAGCCCUUUGAUGCAUGUCAUUCCCCCUCUCUCUCCCCUUUCAUGUCUCCAGCUG